UUUCAUCCACGUGAUUACCUUUUGUUAAUUAUAUACGAUUUUCAGACAAAUAAGUGCACGCGAAUUAAAUUUCUCAUAUUUCAAACUCUAAAUUGACGUGUCGUAUUGUAUCUUCUUAAAAUUCUUGAAAAUUUUAUAACCUUAAACAAAUCUUUACUUAUUUCUCUCUCUUUCUAUAUAUAUACAAAUAUAAAUCUUUCAUUCUCGAUUAUGAUCUUCGAUGAGAGAUUUCAAACAAAUAUCCUAAUAAUCAAAUAAUACAAACGUUAUUUGUGAAUGCGUUAAAAAUGAGUACGACGAACGAACGAUGUACGAAAUGUCAUGGUGAUCAUGAGACAGGUAGCAUUUACUGUCCUAAAUUUAACGAAAAGAGAAUAGCAGAUUCUACCAAAGUAUCAUCGGCUAAAUCAUCGGAUAACAGUUACACCGUGCAAAUAGUUUCCAUAGGUAUUCGACCUGACAAUUUCUACGAGGUUUGUACGAAAAGAAAAGAAACAAAAAAUAUUUAAAACCAAGAAUACUUCAAAAUAUAAUGGGAUAAUUCGUUCAUUUCCAAUAUAUAUGUCAUGCUCUCGCAAUCGAUAGAUCAUUUUAUACACGGAUUUUUUUUUUUUUAUAACAAGUGUUACUAAAAAAAAAAAGUCAUGAAACCAUCGAAAGGUCGAAGCUCACGUAACUUUUUUUUCCUACUUUUUUCUCUUCCAUAGCAAAGAGUGACCUUAAAAGGCCAAAAUGUUACUAGCACCGGAAAUCGAUAUGUCGUCUACGAAAAUAACUGUUAAGGGCAAUAAUCUUCGUGUAAGCGUUCAACGACAUCUAAGUAAAGAGUUUUCGGAUAUGAUACAAAAAUUGCCAUGUAACGAUUUGACGAAACAAAUCCUUAAACAUCGAGAAAAUUUACUUAUACCGGAGUCCAUUGACAGCGAUGAAGUUCGUGCUGUAGUUGACAAUAAACAUAGAAUGCUAAUCCUAACUGCACCUACUAUUAAACCGAGUAAACGAUUAAAAAUGUGAUCGAUUGUAACAAAUCGUCGUCAAUGAUACGUGAUAUCUACAAAUUUGUUCCCUAGUUUCUUUUUUUGUAUGAAUUUCAUAAACAGCUAAUCUCGAAACAAAAGAAUUUAUCUAAUCGAUAAUCUAUUUCUAACAUUACCUACAAAUGCCAGAUCAAGUUCUAUAACUUAAUGCCUUCAAUUCUUGUAAUAAUUCUUCCUUAUUGAUUAUGGAAAAUUUGCCACAGCAUUGUUUGGACAACGCCAUAUUGUUAAGACCAUACGAUUAUAUAGAUCUCAAAAUGAUAUCGAGCGGAUUCAAAACACGAUUGAAAUUGAGUCAAAUCCCGGAUUUUUAUACGAUAAAUAACAAAGAAUAUUUUGCUGUAAGUAAUUUCACUUGGUUUCGAUGCUUUAUAAAUUAUCUUGAGUAUACGAUAUCUUUUGUAUUCUUGUCACGUGUUACCUGUAUAUUAAAAAAAAGAAAUAAAUAAAUAAAUAAAAAUAAAACAGAUUGUAUAAGAAAUCAAAUAUAACGCAGGCAGAAAUAAAGACUGAAGGAUUUAAAGUAAGCACUGCUGCUCUAGCAACGGAGAAUGUUUUGAAUAUUAAAUUACAAGAAUUAGGUGGUCGACGUCACGUUAGAAAUAUUAACUUUCUCAUUCCAACGGAAGCAAAUGCAAAAGUUGCAUCCAUUGAAGUAUUCGAUGAUAACACCAUUUUUAUGAGAGUACCACUCAUCUGCAAUUUUUAA